rnacentral:tRNA from 1 species
GACCAGUGUGGUGUAGUGGUUUGAGCAUUGGACUAUUACUCUGGAGACCAGGGUUCAAAUCCUGGCUUGGCCG